rnacentral:rRNA from 1 species
AACGCGAAGAACCUUACCUGGGCUCGAAAUGUGCAUGAAUCCGGCAGAAACGUCGGCGUCUCGCAAGAGACAUGUAUAUAGGUGCUGCAUGGCUGUCGUCAGCUCGUGUCGUGAGAUGUUGGGUUAAGUCCCGCAACGAGCGCAACCCUUAUCUUCAGUUGCUACCAUUUAGUUGAGCACUCUGACGAAACCGCCUCGGAUAACGGGGAGGAAGGUGGGGAUGACGUCAAGUCCUCAUGGCCUUUAUGUCCAGGGCUACACACGUGCUACAAUGGCCGGUACAAACCGCUGCAAACCCGCGAGGGGGAGCUAAUCGGAAAAAGCCGGCCUCAGUUCGGAUUGGAGUCUGCAACUCGACUCCAUGAAGCUGGAAUCGCUAGUAAUCGUGGAUCAGCAUGCCACGGUGAAUACGUUCCCGGGCCUUGUACACACCGCUCGCGA